rnacentral:rRNA from 1 species
UAGGGAAUCUUCGGCAAUGGACGAAAGUCUGACCGAGCAACGCCGCGUUAGUGAAGAAGGUUUUCGGAUCGUAAAACUCUGUUGUUAGAGAAGAACAAGGACGUUAGUAACUGAACGUCCCCUGACGGUAUCUAACCAGAAAGCCACGGCUAACUACGUGCCAGCAGCCUCGGUAAUACGUAGGUGGCAAGCGUUGUCCGGAUUUAUUGGGCGUAAAGCGAGCGCAGGCGGUUUCUUAAGUCUGAUGUGAAAGCCCCCGGCUCAACCGGGGAGGGUCAUUGAAAACUGGGGGACUUGAGUGCAGAAGAGGAGGGUGGAAUUCGAUGUGUAGCGGUGAAAUGCGUAGAUAUAUGGAGGAAAACCAGUGGCGAAGGCGGCUCUCUGGACUGUAACUGACGCUGAGGCUGGAAAGCGUGGGGAGCAAACAGG